AAUAUCUAGUAGCAGGCAUUCCCCGGUUCUACUGCUGCAAAGCGACACUGCUGGGAAUACGGAUGGCACUCCUACUCAUGAUUUUGCCUACGAGUCGUGUUCAAUUUUAGGUUUCUAAAUUUUCGUAGACCAUAUGCAGUCCCAGUCGGCCCCAAAGCUUUACAAUUCUCCUGAGGAACUACUACCUGUAUUAAUUCCCACUCGCACCCUCAUUGCUUCAUUGCCUAUUCUCUGCGUUUGAUGAGCUUCUCUUCCCCGUGCAUGAGUGCUCUCUUUCGCUCAAGUCAUUGUUCGAGUGUCACUCUCUACACAUUCCAUUCUCAUCCCUGUCUGAGUUGGAUCCGCGCAUUGUUGACGUAUUCUUACUCGGCGGCAACCUCCUUAGAUUUUCUGCAUGGUACGAGACAUUCGGUGACACCCAGGAUCACCGGCUGGGCGGAUGCGUAGGUUUCCGUGCGUUUCAACAGACACCUAAUUUCACGUCUUUGAUUGGGUUCUCUGCUUAAUUCUUCAUCCCUUUGUACCCAUUGUCUUGAUAUUUGGGGGGGUGUAGGGACCGUGUAGUGGGUGUAAGUCGUCGUUGGAAUUCGUUACUAUGGUGCACCAAGAUAACAGCGGCUCUGGGUUGAGAUCUUUCAAUCAUCCCAACCCACCUCCAAACAACAACCGUCCCCCUUCAAACCCUCCAGUAGUGCGCAACCCUUCCAGUGGGCGCACUCCUCACCCCUACCCCCCUCCUCCACACAACUACAACGGCUACCCCAACUGAGCCACUGCUUCUACCCUGAUGGAGACUCUUCAAGGCGAGAAGAGAUUGUGCAGGGCUGGACUUACCACACUUUUGGCUGCGGGAGUUGAUCUUGUACUGGUGUAAAGAUUCCAAGUUAAGUGUAUCUAGUACUUUCGAACAAGAAGAAACGGGGAGCAAUUUUUUUCCCCCCCCCCCCCCCCACAAGGCUUUGCCGACGUUCAGUCACCUGUGAGACUGGAAACAUGUCCACGCGUGCGCGAUGGCUAGAAUCGUAUACAUUUGAGUAGAGUCAUCCGGAGACACCUAAUCUCUGUCUCGUGGAGCUUCAAAUCUUCCCUCUUAGCAUUUUUGGAUUUGGAAAAGUGGGAUAUGUCGCAUUUGUUCCAUAGCAGAUGAAACCAGACAUUCUCUACUGUUGAGAUUUACUUUGAAUUAUUAUUAUCUUAAUAGAAUUUGCACCGAGAUGUAAAAGGAUUUUGUAAAUUCUGGCAGUUGAUCAA